UGCCAACGAUUAAUAUAUGAUUUCAUUAGUCGGAUGGUCUAAAAUUACAUAUUUGGGAAAAUAUACGAACAAAGGCUAAUUGUGCGAUGCGGAGUUUUUCUGACAAGCAAAGGCAAAAAAAUAAUAACUUACAUACUUCCAAAGUUCAAAUAAUUGCAAACGACGACUAUCUGAACCAUAACAUAGAAGUGAAGGUUUCGAAUAAAUUGGAGGACAAAAUUUUACAUGGAGGUGCCAUACAAUGUGAAGAAGAGGUGUAUUUGCAAGAAAAAUCCACGGCGCAGAUUUGAGUAUUCUUGCAGGAGGCCAGAAGAGACAUGAGCUGAGUG